AUUUGAUUUCUUCAGAAGUUGUUUACAAUGCGUUUUUUUAUGGUGUCGGUGGGCGGGGCUUGUGCGGCCAGAGGCUCGAGGUUCAACACCUGCGGAGGUUCAGCGACGAGGAAGAGGCAGAAAAAAGUGUUAAAACACUUCACUAAAACAUGAGGAUUUCUGUGACAGCGUCUUUGUUUUUAACUCUGGGAUUUAUACAUCCACUCUGCGUGUCGAUUCAUGCCCUUCCUGAAGAUGUGGAAGGAUCAGGUCCGGACCUGGACAGUUCUGGUUCUGGUUCAGGGGAUUGGUCAGAACAAGAUAUGAAGGUACACCCAGACAGCAAAGACAAGGCCACUGAUAUCCUACACAGGCCCGUGAUAGACAUAGAAUCAGAGUUUGUUGUUGUGGGAAGCAGCAAAAGCUUCUUCGAAAGCCCUCAAAUCCUUUCAGGUAUAAUUGCAGGAGGGGUAACAGGAGCUAUACUGGCUGCAAUACUCACAGCAUUAAUAAUAAUCAUGUGGCAGAAGAAAGGUGAUAGAGAAUACAUUCAGGGACAGCAGACCUACAGGGACGAAAUUGUUGUUUAACUGUCAGCCCAGUGUUGACCUUGUGAGCUACUGUAAAUGUAUUUUUUCCUCAUAUUUUUAAGGGGGGGACAGUGGGAGUGCCAGGGAUUCUUACCUGUGCAAAUGUAUCUGUUGUUGUUUAUGGAUACGUUAUUUAUUAACAUGAUGAAACAUGAAGAAUUGUCUUAAUUUGAUGACUGUUCUUUGACAUGUUUUUUUACAAAGCUUUAAAAUAUGUUCAUUUUUACCCAGGGUCAUGUAGCUGCCAUUGAGGCCUCUUGAGUGAUAUUCUGCUAAAUCUUUUUUGACUAUUUUGUAUUACUUUAAACUGAAGUCAGACGCUAAGACCAAGAAAACAAUCAGAACUCUUAAUUUAAAUAAUUUUUUGCUAAUUAGGCUUAGGUCAAGGGUGUGUAUGGCUUUGCAUUAAUUUGCGUAUUGUUGACACAUAGUCAAAAAAUAAUGAAGGAUGUACAUGUACUUUUACCUUAAAAGCACUACUUAACCACUAGUCAGCAGCACAGCUAUGUGCAUGUAGUUAAACUUGUCAGGACAAUUUUAAUGUGUACAUAAAAUUCUUGUUUUUUUACAGAAGACAUCUGACAAGUUGUAGCAGUGUUUAUACUUCACACCUUUUUUUCUACAUAGGGUAAAAAAGUAGUGAAAUCUCAGUGUAAUAUGAGCUAUUUAUAACUAGAAUCUGAAGCAUCUAAUUUAAAGAUGGAAGGAUUAAAUGUAAAUAAGACCAACAUAAUAAAUGAAGAUGAUCAGCUGCUACAAUGUAUGUUGCUCCAAUGUGUGUCAUGAAAUUAUAUUUACUAUUUUUGUAUUGAAUAAUUGUUAAUAAAUGUGCAUGAUCACACUUUCCUUUUGAAAAAUAUUACUUUUUUAUAUUUUGAGACAAUGAACACUGACAUAUAUAUGGAUCCUCCUUUCCUUUAUAGAAGCAAUGCACCUAGACUAAAAAACCCACAGAACCACUGUCUUUGUGGUAAUUUGCAUCUCUCUGCAGUCCUUGUGUCCCUGUGUUUUUUGUUUGUUUGUUUGUUUUUUUGUAGUUUCCGCCUGCAGCUAUAUUAUGUGCAUGGGCGAUUUAUAUGUUAAUAUAAUAAGUGGUUAUUUUACACAAUUGUGUAGUUGUUUUGCAUUGUCAUCAUUAUUAAUAGAUAGCUCUGGUGUGAUGUACCAGGUUUAUACAUCAUGUACAGAGGUGGAAUAUGACCAGAUAAAUUCAUUGAAGUUCUACACUUUAGUGCUAUUUGUAAGAACUUCACUUGCAUUUCUUUUAAGUUCACUACAAUUCAAAACAACUUCAUCAUAUGAAUUUGACAGCUUCGGUCAUUUUUAGGAUGCAGAUUCUCAAUACAAAAUAUAAUAAACUAAUAAAUUAUUAUGGAUUAUUUUGGAUCACCCACCUGGCUGUGUAGUUAAGAUUAGCUUCACCUUUACCAGCUGCAACACUAAGCUAAUUCCAAGUUAAAGGCAAUAAUACGUUUAAUAUAACAAUGCUAGGCUAUUUAACAGGAAUAACAUUAUUCUGUAUACUAUUCUGCACAAUGAGUACGUUUACUUUUUAAUACUAAUACCUUUUAAAGUUGUACUUACGUAUAUUUUGUUGAUCUAUAUUUUCUUGAGUAGAUUAUGGAGGGACAGAAAGUUCUGUUAAUCUCCAUGGCAACGAGGCUCGACGUUAUGACGCCAAAGACGUCACUGAACACCUUGAACAAUACGUGGAGCGUAUUUCCCCCGUUUUCACCAUUCUGCCUUUUUGUUGUUAUUCUAUUUAUUUAGGUCAUUAAUCAUUUAAGAAAUAUUCACGUUGGUGGUUAUAAGCUGACGGUGACUUUUUUUCAGGGCCAUUGGUUGAGACCCGUGUCAGUCAAAGUUAAACCCAGCACCGGCUCUUCCUCCCGACAGAGCGUUUGUUUUUAUCCACCGUGUGGCGUCGUCGUCGUGGAAGUGGUGUGGGCGUUUCUCCGCGUUCGUUCGUUGACUGUUGAUGCUGAGAACAUUUUUCUCCUC
ensembl:lncRNA